rnacentral:lncRNA from 1 species
GCAUUUUAAGAUGAGGCAGUUUGAAGCACAGUUAGAGCUUAUUAAGAAGAAAAUUUAACAUAGAUUUAAACACGGCGGUUCAUAGAAGGAGAGACACUUGGGGAACGAUACUCCAGGGUUAGUGUGGACUUCUCAAAAGAGAGGUGCUUACUCACCUUAGCUGUUAGACACAUGUGUGAUUUUAUUGGCUUUCAAGUUACAUGUCAAAGGUUAGCCAAGAAAAAAAUGCUCCCUCCCCCAUUUUUUUUUUUUUUUGAUAAGUGAGAUUAUAGGAUGGUCCUGGAGGUGCCUUGAAUAGGAUUGUAAUCAGACUUCAGAUGCCAACGUGAGCGGUCUACAUUCCCACUGGCAGACAGUAAUAACUGGACCCAGUGGGUUACAAAGUAAGGGUUGGGAGUAUGGGGGGGUUAGAGGUUGGAGGACUGGGGGUUUGGGGAAUGCAUUAAGAGGUGUGGGGUGGAUGUGAACCAAAUAUAUUGUAUACAUGUGUGAUAUUGCUAAGGAAUUAACUAAAGAUAUUCUGGGUUGGAGGAUGGAUCAGUAUUAAUAAAGAGUGGCUUAUUAUUGCUCCUGUAGCGACCCUGAAUUCACUUCCCAGCACCUAUAGGUGAAUGGCAUACACCUUCCUCUGACUCCAGCUUUAGGGGAUCAUUGACCCCUUCUGGCCUUCAUGGGCACCAGGACUCAUGUGCACAUACCACCAGCCUAUAAACAUGAUUACAAGUAAUAAACUGAACUGGCCAGUUUAAUGUCAAUGGGGGAGGGCCCAGCCAAUUGUGGUCGUCUUGGGUUCUAUUAAGAGAGCUUGCUGAGCAAGCCAUGGGGAGCAAGCUAGUAAGCAGCACUCCUCCGUGACCUCUGCAUCUGCUCCUGUCCUGCGUGAGCUCUGCUUUGAAUGAUGACCAGUUCUAUGGAACUGUGAGUAAAAUUAACCCUUUCCUUUCUGACUUGCUUCUGUUCAUAGUGUUUCAUCACAGCCACAGAAACCCUAACAAAGACGUAAACCC